rnacentral:lncRNA from 1 species
CUUUUAUUUAGUCGUAUGGUCUGAGUCAGCCUAUUUCCAGGACAGUGGUAAUGCAUGCGUUUGAUUCUUGAAUGCAAAUAUGCUUUCAAUUUUACUAUGCAAAUUCCCUGAUUUUGGUAUACUUCUCGGGGGCUUGCAGCUGGCUAUGUGCUGCUCUCUUCUCUCCUGCUUGAUGGGCUGUGUUCCUGCCAGGCACUGUCAGACAGCCAGUGGCAGCCCUUGGUAGUCCUGCUGGAGCUCCCAAGCUGCUUGGCCCUGUGGGUUCAGUGACAUUUUACUGUUUGUGGGGUAAAGCCCACAUUUUGCACCAAGUUCAUAAAAUUCAUCCGAUUUUUAUUUUCAUAUGUAACAGCGUCAUGAAUCUUUUUUGAAAGUAGCCAUCAAAGUAGCCGUCAGAAGCAACAGGACCUAGAAAGGUUACUUAAAUCCACACAGAUCUGAGUCAAAUUCUGAGACCGUCAGGCUUCCACAUUGAUCAAAUAUGACAAUUUCAUAACUCCCUAGUUUGUUGUGAGAAUUAACUAAGACCACAUAUAAAGGGCCCAGUUCAGUGACUGACCUAUCGCACACAUAGCCCAUGCUAGUUAGUUGCCCCAACUCCUCUUACUUCCUGGUCCUCUGAGAUUCAGGUGAGAAGCAGGAAAUAGAGGCAAGCCAAGUGUAUUAAUCCACCAUCUCUCCUUAAUGGGAAUGAGAAGCUGUGAGACUACGUGGGGCCUUAAAUGUCCCAUUCCCAGCAUCAUCCCCCAUUAAUCCAAACUAACACACAUCCAAUAGUCCAGCCACACUCACCUAUUCACAGUUACUUCCAGGCCUCCACACAUCCUGUUCCUUCUGUCCUCUAUUUGCUUCCCAUCUUUUUUGUAUAACACAAAGUUCUACAGAGCUUUAAUCCCCAAUUUCAGUGUCACCUUCUUGAUGACAUCUGCCCUGCUUGCUUACUCCUCUUCCCAGGCAGAGUCACUCACCACAUACACAAACCUGUCCAUGCACUUAGCAGAGUGUAGGAGUCAUGCUUACCCUUUAGCCAAGUGUAGUGUUGUUGAGUAUUCACUUCUGUCUGGGUCUUACAAGACUAGGGGUUCCUCAAUGGCAGGAGUUUAUAUUUGAAUCCCUAGAAUCCAAUGCAGUACAGCAUACAUUCCAUACUAAACAAAUAUAUAUUGAAUGAAUACAUGAAUGAAUGUCAUAACUGGCAGCUCUCUAAAUGAAGGGAGGGAAAGGUCAUGAAAGAAAUGAAAGAAAAUCAGUCCCGCAAAAUGUUCCCUAACUUUUCUCUAAAGCAUUUCAAGAUCUUUCUGAGCACUCAGCCCCAAACUACUGCGGAGGAAGGUAGUAUCCCAGGCACUGCUCAGGAGUUCUCUCAACAGCAGAGACAAUGGCUGCAGCCAUGUGGGCUCCUGAGCUGCCCCUGCCACUCAGUUUUAUGCUCCAUCCCCCCAUAGUAUCCUGAAAAUAAAGAGGAAUGCUGCUUUGCCAGCAGCCACAGAAGUCACUGGUUUCAGGUGAGUGAUUCUAAGUAAGCUGCGGCCAAUAAAACAGAGAAAACAAAAAGGAGAUGAAGACUUUUUACUCCUGCAGCCUCAGAGAACCCAGAGCUGGAGUGGAGAGUGGCUGGGACAGGAGAUGGAAUAUGAAGGAAGAAUGUUUACAGAAGCAUAAGAGGUGUCCUCCAGGCUCAGAAGACUUGUUGGGCCUAUAUUCUGACCUUCUGAGGAACUAAUGAACAAGCCUGGAAAGUACAGGUGAAUUUCAUGACAUCAACUGCAAAAAUUCUUCUGGAGAAUGGAGACCUGAAUCUACUUCUAUG